rnacentral:rRNA from 1 species
CCUGCCAGUAGUCAUAUGCUUGUCUCAAAGAUUAAGCCAUGCAAGUCUAAGUAUAAUUGUUUUACGGUGAAACUGCGAAUGGCUCAUUAAAUCAGUUAUAGUUUAUUUGAUGCUAUAGACCGAAAGGUCACUACAUGGAUAUCUGUAGUAACAUAGAGCUAAUACAUGCAAUAUAGUCUGACUUUUUGGUAAGGACUAGCACUUAUUAGAUAUUAAACCAGUCCCAGCAAUGGGGUUUUAUUGGUGAUUCAUAGUAACUGAACAAAUCACAUGGUCUCGUACCGGUGAUGUUUCAUUCAAAUUUCUGCCCUAUCAACUAGAUGGUAGUAUAUAGGACUACCAUGGUUGUAACGGGUAACGGGAGGAUUAGGGUUUUGAUUCCGGAGAAGGAGGCAUGAGAAACGGACGUACUAUUUCUUAAGGUAAAGGACAGCAGGCGCGCAAAUUAUU